UACGUAGGGUGCAAGCGUUGUCCGGAAUUAUUGGGCGUAAAGAGCUCGUAGGUGGCCUGUCGCGUCGGCUGUGAAAACUCGGGGGCUCAACUCCGAGCUUGCAGUCGAUACGGGCAGGCUAGAGUUCGGCAGGGGAGACUGGAAUUCCUGGUGUAGCGGUGAAAUGCGCAGAUAUCAGGAGGAACACCGGUGGCGAAGGCGGAUCUCUGGGCCAUAACUGACGCUGAGGAGCGAAAGCAUGGGGAGCGAACAGG
rnacentral:rRNA from 1 species